GUUGUCUUAUGUGUCUAGCCUUAUGAAUAUUUGGUUUCAAGGAAUGAGAAACAACUCAAGUCAAACUGAACAAAAAUAGAAGGCACCAAAUACAGAGCAUAGAUGAUACUGCCAAACAUGAAGAAGAUGCUUCAGUUUUCAGGAAUUUAAUCAAAGGUGAAACCAUUAUCCCACUGUUAAUCAUUGCAACAAGCUGCCUUGCUGAAGUAAAAUUACUGGGAGUCCUGGACCAUUCUUCUGACGGACAGCUUCCCACAGUGGCAGAGAAGCAGCCAUCUGAACGUUUUUCUUUGAUGUCUCCACAUCUGGGUAAGUUCUCUGGUGGCUUGGGGACUCUGAGGUCUCCUCUGGAGCAAUGUGGUUCAUCCAUUCCCUUCUGUAGGAUCCCCUUCCCUGCCUCGCCCUGUUUUCCAUACCUAUUGGGGCAAACACAAUUUGGCCAGGUGGAUAGGCUCUAAUUUUGUAAAUAACUUGGAUCCAUCUGUCUUGUAUGUAGGUCUCUUCCUUUGUGUGAUGCGAGUUGUAUCCAGCAUGCUAUCAAAUUGGCUUAUAAAUAAAAGAGUGCUCAUGAAUUAAACAAGAAUAGGCUAAACUUGAGAGUUGGAAGAGAAUGUCGUGUCUUCUAAAAUUUAACUUCAAGAUUUUUACCUAGGUAAAUCACUGAUGUUUUUAGGCUUUAGAAUAUUUUUAAAAGCUUUGAAAGGGUAGCUUUGUGUAUGGUUUAAAUUCUUAAAAUUAUAGAAUGGUUCUCAUCUGUAAAAUCCCAGUAUUUGAUGGGCAGUUCAGAAUUUUCUGCUUCCUAAGUUUAUAUGAAAUGUGCCAGGGAAGAUGUAUUCUUAAUUGGAAAAAAGAAUAAUAUUUUUUCCAAUCUGGAACUUAUUAAAAGGCUGGUUGAACAUGUGAAGGAACAAGUGAAUAAAAAAGAAAGAUAUGAGGAGAGUUAUGGAUAGAAGAUACGUUUUUUUUGUGUGUGGGGAGGGAUAUAAAGAAAGAGUGAUUUUGCAUGAGGAGGGAUCUUGUGUGGUAGAUUCUUUUCCUAGAAUAAAGUGACAGGUUAUUUGGGAGAGAGGUGGCAUAGGAUAGAUCAGAGAGUCCAAGCAUUGCAAAAGAGUGAUGGGGUUUGUAAAGGGAAAGUUGUCAGGGGGAUUUUGCAUACGAUUAAGCUGGCUGUGAAGAAAAAUUGUGGUAGACUUUCUAGAAAAUAAUCUACAUAUUGGAACUGGGGUUUCUUAAGGUAUUUGAUUUGCAUUACAGGAAAUUUGUCUUUUAAUGCUAUAACUGGUUUCUUUUAAAACUUCUCAGAUUCAUGUCAAAGAUGUUCAACUGUUACUGUGACUCACUCCCUUUGAGAAGACCUGAGAUAAUAACUUUGCUUUAGGUUUUUAGUCAGCUCCUAUAAUUUUUUCUCCUCCAGUUCUAACUGUUGUUGUGACCUCAUGCUAAAAUAUUGUAUCACAGAGGUCUACAAAAAGUGUGUGGUUAAGCCAGUCAAUUAUGACAUGCUUAACCAAUAUAACUUGAUUACAUACUCUUGGCUCUUCUUUUUUUUUUAACUUUUAUUUUAGGUUUGAGUGUACAUGUGAAGGUUUGUUACAUAGGUAAACUUGUG